UGCUGCCUUCGGAGAGCACAACCAUCAUGAUGACCUAAGUUGCCACUCUAGGAGUCGGGGAGGUGUGCCGCAGUGUCAGGGGUCACAGACUCGCCUCCAGAGCCCAGGCCUGCCAGAGGGAGGCGCGCAGCAAGCGCCCAGUGAGUUCAGGUUUCCUGCAGGACACGGCAUGUUGUGAAGAUGUCUCCACACUCUCGGGAAAGGUUCGCUGCGGUGUUCUUUUGGGAGGAUGCUGAACAUCAUGGAGCACACAGCCCCGUGGUGCAGCGCUGCCCCUGCCCGUCACCCG